AGACGGAACUGAACAAUGGUUCGAAACCCGCCUCAGACGAUGAGCAGGACCAUCGUCUGAGGCGGGUUUCGAACCAUUGUCACUGUUGUUCACUCUGUGUUUCUCCAAUUGUCACUGAUUCACUUUGUUCACACGCGUAGUCUGGUGCUGAUUUAGCAGCUGGAGCUUCUGUCACGCCUCCUUUACUCUGGUGGUUAAUUCAAUUCGAUUCUGUGACUGAAGAACCAGGCUGAAGUCCCCGAAGUGUGGCUCAGUGGGUAAAAUGGAGGAGUCAAUGUGUUGAACGUGGAGUUAUGAUAUGAAAUCCUAGCCGGUGAUGUCCUCCCAACUGUUCGAGAGACAUGAGGGCCAGAGCCGGACUGGAUGUGAGAGAAACCAGACGUUGUGCUUCAGUACGACUUAGAGGUAACCCUGCCACCACCAGCAGCACUGUGUGAUCAUGAUGUUGAUUCAUGAGUCUGCAGGUGGCGAAGAGAGGAUUGAACCAAUCGCAAGCGUAGCUGCCUCGUCACCUGCAGUUGUGGGAUUUGCCGGAGCAGCCUCAGUUGCCAUAAAGGCCAGGCAGGAUUUCAAGCGUCAGCUUCAGCGUCUGCCUCAGUGUAAGCUUCAGCGUUAGAUUCCAGCCGUCGUAGCUUCAGCCCGUCCGAUGAAGACCCGGAGAAUGAAGACUCGGCAGUCGGCCGUGGCAGUCCGCUGGGGAGGCCUGCGGGAGACUGCUCUUUGGAGGCCCUAACCAUUCUUCUGCUCUGCCGGGUUCCAGCAACUGUCUCUGCCUGUCAGACCGACUCUCCAGCUCGAUGUUGAACCUUGACAAGACCAAACUCCUUGAUAGGAUCUUUGGAAUCCACUUGGACUUACUUGACUCUUGUUGUUCUACCAAAUGUCAUGUACCAUGCACAUUAAAAUUCAGCAUUUCUUGUGAUGUCCAAUC